rnacentral:rRNA from 1 species
GGGUUUAGAACGUCGUGAGACAGUUCGGUCCCUAUCCGUCGCGCGCGUAAGAGAUUUGAAGGAAGCUGUCCCUAGUACGAGAGGACCGGGAUGGACGAACCUCUGGUGUGCCAGUUGUCCUGCCAAGGGCAUGGCUGGUUUGCUACGUUCGGACGGGAUAAGCGCUGAAAGCAUCUAAGUGCGAAGCCUCUCCUAAGAUGAGAUCUCUCACCGGGUAACCGGGUAAGACCCCUGGUAGAAGACCAGGUUGAUAGGCCAGAAGUGGAAGUGCGGUAACGCAUGUAGCUGACUGGUACUAAUCGGUCGAGGGCUUGGACUU